rnacentral:tRNA from 6 species
CCCCUCGUCGUUCAAUGGAUAGGACGGAACUUUGCGGAAGUUCUGAUGUAGGUUCGAUUCCUACCGAGGGGA